UUCGUCUGCAGUGUAAAAAUGAAGAAUCAAGUCAGGCUACAUAACUUAUGAAUUGUGAGGCUGCAAACUCAGCAUGGCGUUGUAAAGAAGUUUCAACCGUUGAAUUAAUAUUUAAAUGUGGUGGGUUGAGUCUAAGCCGUCCAGUAAAAAAAAAUGUUAGAAACAAUCCAGGAUUCCCAGAUAACUUCGGUACAAGAAGUGAGGUAUGCAUUGUUUCACCUGCAUAUUCAAUCUCUCUGUGCUGAUAAAAAGUGAAAGAAAGAAGUGAUACAAGAAGAUUUUGUUCUGUGUGUUUUUUACGGGACAAGGUUACCCCAUAACUUAGCUUGAAAACAACAAUAAGCCUUUCAAGUACAGUGUUGUGAGUGUUUAAGUUGUCUUGUUGGCUUAUGAAGAAUCCAGUGAUGAAGAAGAUCAAGUACCUCAUAAAGUGAACCCAGAUCGAGUGUCAGCCAUUACAUGAACUGCCAGAUCCAUCCGUUUACCAUAACAAGAUCUUUAGUCUACAUGGGAAUCAAUGGGAUGGCAGUUCCACUGGUUCCACAUCAGGCAACAAAAUAUCACUGCUGUAGAAAAGUGUUAGCCAAUAAGAAGGAACGUCGACUCAGUUUUCACCUACGUGUUCCAUAAUCGACGAAGAAUAAUCUUUUUUGAUUGAUAUUUUCAAAACCCUUAUCACUCACCUCUGCAGCCAAAGUUUUACAACACGAGCCACAAUAUUAUUGGACUAAAAAUCUUCGGGUUACGACCGACACGGGCGCAAAUACUGGUUUAUUGCAGGACGCAUCUUUGUCGAAGGAACUGGUAACCAGGAAGAAAUUGACGUUGACAAAGACACUAGCUACAGUUGAAGAAAAAACGAGCAUAAAGGCAACAACAAAUCCUAUCUGGAACUUGACGAAGUAGUUGCUAGUAGAGAGGCCGUUCAGAUGGUCGUCAAAAUUGAGAAAGAAGGAGAAAACAAAUCUAAUGAAAGCCUAUCGGUCGAUGCAAUCAAAUGACAAAAUAGAAACUGAUAAAGUUGUGAAAAAGUGUGGCAUCUGUGUAGAAUCGAGCCAUGAAAACCAGCUAAUACCAGUACACCAAUGACCAGCGGAACUUAUUCCACACGAUCCUCGACAGGCACUAUUGUGGCGCGACAGGCACUUAUGUUGCCUAACUAAUGGUUCUGGAGGAGUCGCUAUCAAGGAGAAAAGCAGUCAAGGAGUCACUUGGUCACAUUCUUCUCACAACUUCAACAACAGACAACACUUGAACGUUAAGAGCGUAAGGUGAUGAACGAGGAAGAGAAAAAGGAUAAAGAACUAGAAGAGGAGAUGCAAUGUCUACAUACCGUCCAUUAUGCCAAAGUCAUAAAAAACAGGAACAGUUGAUGAUUUGAAAAGUGCAAGAGUUCCGUCUUUAUGGCCACGUGAGUUGUCGCUAGCUGUCUGCAACUCACCUUAUGCGACGCCUUGAUAUCAGACAAUGCGGAUUAAGAGCUGGAUCUUGGCGAAUCAUCAAUUCAUCACUCAUAACUGAGGUCUGGAAUCUCGGUAUGUUCAAGCUAAUCCUGCAACUGUAAUCGAAACUUAUAGAAACUUCCCACCUGAUCCAGCCAUGGAACGGCUGGUGGAACGGCUGACAGGCAACACGUUCAACGCGGAUCAUCUGUGAUUGUUGUGGGUAUGAUUUUUUGUAAGUUAACCCGUUGGCUGCCACGCCUUUGUUCUCCCCUAGCUCCUUAGCACGGGCCGCGC